CGUGAUCACUGAGCCGUUCGCGUCUCUACGCAUAAAAGCGCGGGAAAGAGUGCUGAUUUCACUUCACUGAUUCAGUCAGGAAUUAAGGAUACAUUACUGAAAGGGUUCACGAUAUCCUAAAUUUGAAACAAUGGUUACCAAGGUGGUGUGUUACUCGUUGUUCUUUGUAGCUACUGUAAUUCUCAUCAGUGCGCAUGCCUCUGCGAAACCAUUCAGCGACGAAGACACAGAGGAUAUCGCUUAUUACACAGAUGACGCCAUAUUAAGCGAUAGUCCACCUAAACUAAGAAUGAACAGGCACGGCAAGCGAGAAUACUCCACGUCCGUCACAAACGACUUCUAUUUAGCUGACAGUA